UUAAGCGACUAAGCGUACACGGUGGAUGCCCUGGCAGUCAGAGGCGAUGAAGGACGUGCUAAUCUGCGAAAAGCGUCGGUAAGGUGAUAUGAACCGUUAUAACCGGCGAUGUCCGAAUGGGGAAACCCAGUGCAAUUCGUUGCACUAUCGUUAACUGAAUACAUAGGUUAACGAGGCGAACCGGGGGAACUGAAACAUCUAAGUACCCCGAGGAAAAGAAAUCAACCGAGAUUCCCCCAGUAGCGGCGAGCGAACGGGGAGCAGCCCAGAGUCUGAAUCAGCUUGUGUGUUAGUGGAACGGUCUGGAAAGUCCGACGGUACAGGGUGAUAGUCCCGUACACCAAAAUGCACAGGCUGUGAACUCGAAGAGUAGGGCGGGACACGUGGUAUCCUGUCUGAAUAUGGGGGGACCAUCCUCCAAGGCUAAAUACUCCUGACUGACCGAUAGUGAACCAGUACCGUGAGGGAAAGGCGAAAAGAACCCCGGCGAGGGGAGUGAAAAAGAACCUGAAACCGUGUACGUACAAGCAGUGGGAGCACCUUCGGGUGUGACUGCGUACCUUUUGUAUAAUGGGUCAGCGACUUAUAUUCUGUAGCAAGGUUAACCGUAUAGGGGAGCCGCAGGGAAACCGAGUCUUAACUGGGCGUUAAGUUGCAGGGUAUAGACCCGAAACCCGGUGAUCUAGCCAUGGGCAGGUUGAAGGUUGGGUAACACUAACUGGAGGACCGAACCGACUAAUGUUGAAAAAUUAGCGGAUGACUUGUGGCUGGGGGUGAAAGGCCAAUCAAACCGGGAGAUAGCUGGUUCUCCCCGAAAGCUAUUUAGGUAGCGCCUCGUGAACUCAUCUUCGGGGGUAGAGCACUGUUUCGGCUAGGGGGUCAUCCCGACUUACCAACCCGAUGCAAACUACGAAUACCGAAGAAUGUUAUCACGGGAGACACACGGCGGGUGCUAACGUCCGUCGUGAAGAGGGAAACAACCCAGACCGCCAGCUAAGGUCCCAAAGUCAUGGUUAAGUGGGAAACGAUGUGGGAAGGCACAGACAGCCAGGAUGUUGGCUUAGAAGCAGCCAUCAUUUAAAGAAAGCGUAAUAGCUCACUGGUCGAGUCGGCCUGCGCGGAAGAUGUAACGGGGCUAAACCAUGCACCGAAGCUGCGGCAGCGACACUAUGUGUUGUUGGGUAGGGGAGCGUUCUGUAAGCCUGCGAAGGUGACCUGUGAGGGUUGCUGGAGGUAUCAGAAGUGCGAAUGCUGACAUAAGUAACGAUAAAGCGGGUGAAAAGCCCGCUCGCCGGAAGACCAAGGGUUCCUGUCCAACGUUAAUCGGGGCAGGGUGAGUCGACCCCUAAGGCGAGGCCGAAAGGCGUAGUCGAUGGGAAACAGGUUAAUAUUCCUGUACUUGGUGUUACUGCGAAGGGGGGACGGAGAAGGCUAUGUUAGCCGGGCGACGGUUGUCCCGGUUUAAGCAUGUAGGCUGGUUGUCCAGGCAAAUCCGGAUAAUCAAGGCUGAGGUGUGAUGACGAGGCACUACGGUGCUGAAGUAACAAAUGCCCUGCUUCCAGGAAAAGCCUCUAAGCAUCAGGUAACAUUAAAUCGUACCCCAAACCGACACAGGUGGUCAGGUAGAGAAUACCAAGGCGCUUGAGAGAACUCGGGUGAAGGAACUAGGCAAAAUGGUGCCGUAACUUCGGGAGAAGGCACGCUGGUGUGUAGGUGAAGUCCCUGCGGAUGGAGCUGAGACCAGUCGAAGAUACCAGCUGGCUGCAACUGUUUAUUAAAAACACAGCACUGUGCAAACACGAAAGUGGACGUAUACGGUGUGACGCCUGCCCGGUGCCGGAAGGUUAAUUGAUGGGGUUAUCCGUAAGGAGAAGCUCUUGAUCGAAGCCCCGGUAAACGGCGGCCGUAACUAUAACGGUCCUAAGGUAGCGAAAUUCCUUGUCGGGUAAGUUCCGACCUGCACGAAUGGCGUAAUGAUGGCCAGGCUGUCUCCACCCGAGACUCAGUGAAAUUGAACUCGCUGUGAAGAUGCAGUGUACCCGCGGCAAGACGGAAAGACCCCGUGAACCUUUACUAUAGCUUGACACUGAACAUUGAGCCUUGAUGUGUAGGAUAGGUGGGAGGCUUUGAAGCGUGGACGCCAGUCUGCGUGGAGCCAACCUUGAAAUACCACCCUUUAAUGUUUGAUGUUCUAACGUUGGCCCCUGACCGGGGUUGCGGACAGUGUCUGGUGGGUAGUUUGACUGGGGCGGUCUCCUCCCAAAGCGUAACGGAGGAGCACGAAGGUUAGCUAAUCCUGGUCGGACAUCAGGAGGUUAGUGCAAUGGCAUAAGCUAGCUUGACUGCGAGCGUGACGGCGCGAGCAGGUGCGAAAGCAGGUCAUAGUGAUCCGGUGGUUCUGAAUGGAAGGGCCAUCGCUCAACGGAUAAAAGGUACUCCGGGGAUAACAGGCUGAUACCGCCCAAGAGUUCAUAUCGACGGCGGUGUUUGGCACCUCGAUGUCGGCUCAUCACAUCCUGGGGCUGAAGUAGGUCCCAAGGGUAUGGCUGUUCGCCAUUUAAAGUGGUACGCGAGCUGGGUUUAGAACGUCGUGAGACAGUUCGGUCCCUAUCUGCCGUGGGCGCUGGAGAAUUGAGGGGGGCUGCUCCUAGUACGAGAGGACCGGAGUGGACGCAUCACUGGUGUUCGGGUUGUCAUGCCAAUGGCACUGCCCGGUAGCUAAAUGCGGAAGAGAUAAGUGCUGAAAGCAUCUAAGCACGAAACUUGCCCCGAGAUGAGUUCUCCCUGAGACUUUAAGUCUCCUGAAGGAACGUUAAAGACGAUGACGUUGAUAGGCCGGGUGUGUAAGCGCAGCGAUGCGUUGAGCUAACCGGUACUAAUGAACCGUGAGGCUUAACCUU
rnacentral:rRNA from 1 species